GCCCUGGUGGCACAGUGGUUAAAUGCCUGUACUGCAGACACAAGGUUGCAAGUUCAAUACCAGCCAAGGGCU